AUGCCGAGGGCAGGCUGGGGACAGCAGAGAGUGAGGGAAGGAGCAGCAGGGCAGCAUUGCCACACACCUNNNNNNNNNNNNNNNNNNNNGGCAGCAUUGCCACACACCUGCCCAGGAGCAGGGAGCAAAGUCCUGGGGGCUGCUGGAAAUCUGGCUGGGAUUAACCCCUUGGGCUCCACGGGGUGCUGGGGAGGGCUGGGGCCUGUCAGGUCCUCUCAGGGUGCUGCUGCCCACACAAGGCUCCUCCAGCCAGCACCUCUUGCCCUGGGCUCUGUUACCGUGGCUGUGGGCACUGCCAGGGGACAGCACUGUCACUGUCACUCACCGGUGCUGCCCCAGGGGCUUGGGGACAGGGACACCCCUGGGUCAGCAGGGUGUUGUGCACAGGCUGAGCCCAGGCUGGUUCCUGGGCUGCCAGCAAACAAACCUGGCUCCUCUCCUUCCCUGCCAGCUGCUGGCACCUCCAGAGGCUGCUGCUCCCUGACAUUCCAUGGCCAGCCCAGCCACAGGGAGCCAGCACAGCCAGGAGAGCAGCACCGAGGCCACAAAAUGACCCAGCUGUGCCUUUCCCUCCGUGCAGAGAGCCAGGGGCAGCAGGAUGGCCCCAGCCAGGAUGGCAGAGUGAGCAGCCCAGCUCCAGAGAGCCCCAGAGACACCCUGCCUGGGCAGCAGCAGCACGGGCAGCACGUGCCAGGACCUGGGCUGGCUCCUGCCCCCGAGGCACUCGAGGGGAGCCAGGUGACAAGUGACUCUGAGGGGGACACAUUCAGUGACACCCUGGAGCAGAUGGAGCCUGAGAAGGCUGGGCAGGUGCAGGGGCUCACCCCAAAGGGGGUCCAGGCUGGGGCUGAGCCCCCAGAGCCCCACAGUGCUGGGCAGGGUGAGCGGGGCGAAGGCAGAAGAGCCGAGGGGAGCAGCAGCACAGACCUGCCAGCCCUGGGCUCCGAGACAGGUGGGUGCAGAGCUUGUCCCUGCGCCUCCUCCUGCUGCUGCUGCUGUUGCCCACCUCCAUGGGCUGGGCUGGGGGUGGGAGGGGACUGAGUUUGGCUCCAGCACCCAUGGUUGGGUGAUCAGAGGCUGAAGGAAGCCACAAGUGUCCUGUGUCCAAAUCCCUUGGUCCCCAAGCAGCUCAGCCCUCCUUUGGCCGUUUCCUGCCAUGGUACUGAAUUGCCUCAGUUUGGAGGGUGCUCUGCUGGCCCUCCAGCAGCCAGGCAGGAGAUGCAGGGCCCUGGCUUCCCAUGCCCAGGUCCAGCUACACCAGCGGUGCCUUCGGAUGUGGGUGGUGCCAAGGGUGAGCUCUGCCCAGCAGAGCAGGGGUGAAGCUGGGCCCUGUGCCCUGGAGGCCUUGGGGACAGCAGUGCCACUCGCCUGAUGCCACCCAGCAGUGCUGCUGGAGUCUGGGGACCACCAGGCCUUGAGCUGUGCCACCCUGUGUGCUGUCCCCAGACAUACUGGGCUGCCCUGGGGUGGCAUUGCCACUCUCACCCGUGGGACUGGUGCCAUUGCCUCACCUGGGCACACCCCACGUGUCUCACCCUUUCCCCUGUUACUGUUCCCUUCCGGGCUGCUUGACCUUGUCCCCAGGCCAGGCUGGGCUGUCCCCAGGGCUGGCAGCAAGUCCCUGCCUGUGUCCUGCUCCCUGCUUGGAUUAUCCAGGUGUUUGCCAGGCUGCUUUGGGGCCUCUGAUGGGCCCGGGGGCGGCCAGGGAGGAGCUGCCCUGGCCCUGGGUGUCCUGCCCUGUGGUGGCAGGUGUCACCAGGUGACCCACACACACCACAGCACCCACACCGUGGGUGG
rnacentral:lncRNA from 1 species